rnacentral:rRNA from 1 species
GGGCCCGCACAAGCGGUGGAGUAUGUGGUUUAAUUCGAUGCAACGCGAAGAACCUUACCAGGACUUAAAUGUAAGUUGCAUGAUUCAGAAAUAAAUCCUUCUUCGGACGGACUGCAAGGUGCUGCAUGGUUGUCGUCAGCUCGUGCCGUGAGGUGUCAGGUUAAGUCCUAUAACGAGCGCAACCCCCUAUUCUUAGUUGCCAGCGGGUAAUGCCGGGAACUCUAAGGAGACUGCCAGCGCAAGCUGCGAGGAAGGUGGGGAUGACGUCAAAUCAUCACGGCCCUUACGUCCUGGGCUACACACGUGCUACAAUGGAUGGUACAAUGGGCAGCCACUACGCGAGUAGGAGCUAAUCCUCAAAACCCAUUCUC